UGCCGAAAACCUUUGGACAGUCCAAUGU
rnacentral:piRNA from 1 species